rnacentral:piRNA from 1 species
UAAUUAAUUCAUUGAUGUUGG